rnacentral:rRNA from 1 species
AUUGAACGCUGGCGGCAUGCCUUACACAUGCAAGUCGAACGGCAGCACGGGUGCUUGCACCUGGUGGCGAGUGGCGAACGGGUGAGUAAUACAUCGGAACGUACCUUAUCGUGGGGGAUAACGCAGCGAAAGCUCUGCUAAUACCGCAUACGCCCUGUGGGGGAAAGCGGGGGAUCGAAAGACCUCGCGCGAUUAGAGCGGCCGAUGCCUGAUUAGCUUGUUGGUGGGGUAAAAGCCCACCAAGGCGACGAUCAGUAGCUGGUCUGAGAGGACGAUCAGCCACACUGGGAUUGAGACACGGCCCAGACUCCUACGGGAGGCAGCAGUGGGGAAUUUUGGACAAUGGGGGCAACCCUGAUCCAGCAAUGCCGCGUGAGUGAAGAAGGCCUUCGGAUUGUAAAGCUCUUUUGUCAGGGAAGAAACACCGGCUCUAACACAGUCCGGGAAUGACGGUACCUGAAGAAUAAGCACCGGCUAACUACGUGCCAGCCGCCGCCGUAA